rnacentral:tRNA from 1 species
GCCGGGGUGGCUGAGUGGUCAAAGCGUCGGCCUCGAGAGCCGAUGCCCGCUUGGCGGGCGCAGGGGUUCGAAUCCCCUCCCCGGCGCCA